rnacentral:rRNA from 1 species
UACGUAGGCAGCAAGCGUUGUUCGGAAUUAUUGGGCGUAAAGAGCUUGUAGGCGGUCUGUCGCGUCUGCUGUGAAAAUCCGGGGCUCAACCCCGGACUUGCAGUGGGUACGGGCAGACUAGAGUGUGGUAGGGGAGACUGGAAUUCCUGGUGUAGCGGUGAAAUGCGCAGAUAUCAGGAGGAACACCGAUGGCGAAGGCAGGUCUCUGGGCCACUACUGACGCUGAGAAGCGAAAGCAUGGGGAGCGAACAGG